AUUGAACGCUAGCGGCAGGCUUAAUACAUGCAAGUCGAGGGGCAGCAUGUCCCGCAGCAAUGCGGGAUGAUGGCGACCGGCAAACGGGUGCGGAACACGUACACAACCUUCCUUUAAGCGGGGAAUAGCCCGGGGAAACCCGGAUUAAUACCCCAUAGUAUAUUGAAAAGGCAUCUUUUUAAUAUUAAAGAUUUAUCACUUGAAGAUGGGUGUGCGGCUGAUUAGGUAGUUGGCGGGGUAACGGCCCACCAAGCCUGCGAUCAGUAACUGGUGUGAGAGCACGACCAGUCACACGGGAACUGAGACACGGGCCCGACUCCUACAGGAGGCAGCAGUAAGGAAUAUUGGUCAAUGGACGAAAGUCUGAACCAGCCAUGCCGCGUGGAGGAUGAAGGUCCUCUGGAUUGUAAACUUCUUUUAUAUGGGACGAAAAAAGGGUUUUCUAACUCGUCUGACGGUACCAUAUGAAUAAGCACCGGCUAACUCCGUGCCAGCCGCCGCAGUAA
rnacentral:rRNA from 1 species